rnacentral:rRNA from 1 species
GGUUAAGCGACUAAGCGUACACGGUGGAUGCCCUGGCAGUCAGAGGCGAUGAAGGACGUGCUAAUCUGCGAAAAGCGCCGGCGAGGUGAUAUGAACCUUUGACCCGGCGAUGUCCGAAUGGGGAAACCCAGUGCAAUCCGUUGCACUAUCGUUAACUGAAUACAUAGGUUAACGAGGCGAACCGGGGGAACUGAAACAUCUAAGUACCCCGAGGAAAAGAAAUCAACCGAGAUUCCCCCAGUAGCGGCGAGCGAACGGGGAGCAGCCCGGAGUCUGAAUCAGCUUGUGUGUUAGUGGAACGGUCUGGAAAGUCCGACGGUACAGGGUGAUAGUCCCGUACACGAAAGCACACAUGCUGUGAACUCGAAGAGUAGGGCGGGACACGUGGUAUCCUGUCUGAAUAUGGGGGGACCAUCCUCCAAGGCUAAAUACUCCUGACUGACCGAUAGUGAACCAGUACCGUGAGGGAAAGGCGAAAAGAACCCCGGCGAGGGGAGUGAAAAAGAACCUGAAACCGUGUACGUACAAGCAGUGGGAGCCUCUUUAUGGGGUGACUGCGUACCUUUUGUAUAAUGGGUCAGCGACUUAUAUUCUGUAGCAAGGUUAACCGUAUAGGGGAGCCGAAGGGAAACCGAGUCUUAACUGGGCGUUAAGUUGCAGGGUAUAGACCCGAAACCCGGUGAUCUAGCCAUGGGCAGGUUGAAGGUUGGGUAACACUAACUGGAGGACCGAACCGACUAAUGUUGAAAAAUUAGCGGAUGACCUGUGGCUGGGGGUGAAAGGCCAAUCAAACCGGGAGAUAGCUGGUUCUCCCCGAAAGCUAUUUAGGUAGCGCCUCGUGAACUCAUCUUCGGGGGUAGAGCACUGUUUCGGCUAGGGGGCCAUCCCGGCUUACCAACCCGAUGCAAACUACGAAUACCGAAGAAUGUUAUCACGGGAGACACACGGCGGGUGCUAACGUCCGUCGUGAAGAGGGAAACAACCCAGACCGCCAGCUAAGGUCCCAAAGUCAUGGUUAAGUGGGAAACGAUGUGGGAAGGCACAGACAGCCAGGAUGUUGGCUUAGAAGCAGCCAUCAUUUAAAGAAAGCGUAAUAGCUCACUGGUCGAGUCGGCCUGCGCGGAAGAUGUAACGGGGCUAAACCAUGCACCGAAGCUGCGGCAGCGACACUAUGUGUUGUUGGGUAGGGGAGCGUUCUGUAAGCCGUUGAAGGUGUGCUGUGAGGCAUGCUGGAGGUAUCAGAAGUGCGAAUGCUGACAUAAGUAACGAUAAAGCGGGUGAAAAGCCCGCUCGCCGGAAGACCAAGGGUUCCUGUCCAACGUUAAUCGGGGCAGGGUGAGUCGACCCCUAAGGCGAGGCCGAAAGGCGUAGUCGAUGGGAAACAGGUUAAUAUUCCUGUACUUGGUGUUACUGCGAAGGGGGGACGGAGAAGGCUAUGUCAGCCGGGCGACGGUUGUCCCGGUUUAAGCAUGUAGGCGGAGGUUCCAGGUAAAUCCGGUACCUUUUAACGCUGAGGUGUGAUGACGAGGCACUACGGUGCUGAAGUGAUAAAUGCCCUGCUUCCAGGAAAAGCCUCUAAGCAUCAGGUAACACGAAAUCGUACCCCAAACCGACACAGGUGGUCAGGUAGAGAAUACCAAGGCGCUUGAGAGAACUCGGGUGAAGGAACUAGGCAAAAUGGUGCCGUAACUUCGGGAGAAGGCACGCUGAUGUGUAGGUGAAGCCCCUGCGGGCGGAGCUGAAAUCAGUCGAAGAUACCAGCUGGCUGCAACUGUUUAUUAAAAACACAGCACUGUGCAAACACGAAAGUGGACGUAUACGGUGUGACGCCUGCCCGGUGCCGGAAGGUUAAUUGAUGGGGUUAGCGGCAACGCGAAGCUCUUGAUCGAAGCCCCGGUAAACGGCGGCCGUAACUAUAACGGUCCUAAGGUAGCGAAAUUCCUUGUCGGGUAAGUUCCGACCUGCACGAAUGGCGUAAUGAUGGCCAGGCUGUCUCCACCCGAGACUCAGUGAAAUUGAACUCGCUGUGAAGAUGCAGUGUACCCGCGGCAAGACGGAAAGACCCCGUGAACCUUUACUAUAGCUUGACACUGAACACUGGUCCUUGAUGUGUAGGAUAGGUGGGAGGCUUUGAAGCGUGGACGCCAGUCUGCGUGGAGCCGUCCUUGAAAUACCACCCUUUAAUGGCUGGUGUUCUAACGUAGACCCGUAAUCCGGGUUGCGGACAGUGUCUGGUGGGUAGUUUGACUGGGGCGGUCUCCUCCCAAAGAGUAACGGAGGAGCACGAAGGUUGGCUAAUCCUGGUCGGACAUCAGGAGGUUAGUGCAAUGGCAUAAGCCAGCUUGACUGCGAGCGUGACGGCGCGAGCAGGUGCGAAAGCAGGUCAUAGUGAUCCGGUGGUUCUGAAUGGAAGGGCCAUCGCUCAACGGAUAAAAGGUACUCCGGGGAUAACAGGCUGAUACCGCCCAAGAGUUCAUAUCGACGGCGGUGUUUGGCACCUCGAUGUCGGCUCAUCACAUCCUGGGGCUGAAGUAGGUCCCAAGGGUAUGGCUGUUCGCCAUUUAAAGUGGUACGCGAGCUGGGUUUAGAACGUCGUGAGACAGUUCGGUCCCUAUCUGCCGUGGGCGCUGGAGAAUUGAGGGGGGCUGCUCCUAGUACGAGAGGACCGGAGUGGACGCAUCACUGGUGUUCGGGUUGUCAUGCCAAUGGCACUGCCCGGUAGCUAAAUGCGGAAGAGAUAAGUGCUGAAAGCAUCUAAGCACGAAACUUGCCCCGAGAUGAGUUCUCCCUGAGACUUUAAGUCUCCUGAAGGAACGUUGAAGACGACGACGUUGAUAGGUCGGGUGUGUAAGCGCAGCGAUGCGUUGAGCUAACCGAUACUAAUGAACCGUGAGGCUUAACCUU